rnacentral:lncRNA from 1 species
UAUAAUAUAGAAAAAUAAGGUGUUGGUGAUGGUGGUUCAGUAUGGGUUGGAGGGAGGUCAUGUGAAGGAGGGGGCCUAAAGCAUCGUUAUGGUGGAACAAUAGAAGCGGUGAUAGGAUGAGGCAGGCGUGAAGUUACCUCGAUGAAAAUUUGGUUAGUGAGGUUGAAUACGGGACUGCACUAUUUUUUCGUCACAACCUUGGUUGGAGGAGGGUCCUUUAUGUUUAAGAUUUAAUAGGUUGUUGAGUUAGCUGAAAAUUGUUUUAUAUUUGUGGCAGAGAUGUGUAGUUAAGGUUGAGAUGUUGAGGAUGAUGGGUGGAGGUGGCAUAGAAAUUCCAUGUUUGGGAGGAGGAGAAGAUGGAGGAUGUUGUGUGUUGUAUACCAUUUACGUGCAAGAUAACAUUUCAGAUAGUUGAGAUUGGCAACUUGAUCUAGGUGAUGGUCAUUCUAUUAAAAGUUUUAACUCAUACGGAGGUGGAGGUUACAAAUAUUAGGGCAGCUACGCUGAAAGUUUCUUUGUUUUCUUUGCAACUUUUGAAUAAACAGAAUUCCAACUAAGGAUAAUUUGUUAU